CCUACGGGAGGCUGCAGUGAGGAAUAUUGGUCAAUGGGCGCGAGCCUGAACCAGCCAAGUAGCGUGAAGGAUGACUGCCCUACGGGUUGUAAACUUCUUUUAUAAAGGAAUAAAGUGAGGCACGUGUGCCUUUUUGUAUUUACUUUAUGAAUAAGGAACGGCUAACCCCGUGCCAGCAGCCGAGGUAAUACGGAGGAUCCGAGCGUUAUCCGGAUUUAUUGGGUUUAAAGGGAGCGUAGAUGGGUUGUUAAGUCAGAUGUGAAAGUUUGCGGCUCAACCGUAAAAGUGCAAUUGAUACUGGCAGCCUUGAGUGCAGUUGAGGUAGGUGGAAUUCGUGGUGUAGCGGUGAAAUGCUUAGAUAUCACGAAGAACUCCGAUUGCGAAGGCAGCCUACUAAACUGCCACUGACGUUGAUGCUCGAAAGUGUGGGUAUCAAACAGGAUUAGAUACCCCUGUAGUC
rnacentral:rRNA from 1 species